AAUAUGUUGAGUUUGAUGAUGGCUCUGAAUGAACGCUGAACAAGUGCUUGACACAUGCUAAUCGUACGACUAGUUAUAUAUAAUUAGUAGUGGUGUACAGGUGAGUAAAUGAUAAUAUGGCUACCUUAGAGUGAGGGCAAAUCCCUUAUAAAUAACAAUAAAAGGAACGAAAGUUCUGCUUUAAGAUGAUAAUAAUAUCUCGGGUAUGUAGUAGUAGUAAAGGUAAUGUCUUUACUAGCUAAAAACCCGUAGUCGAGACUGAGAGGUCGAUCGAUCACAUUGGGUCUGAAAAAACCCCAAUGCGUAUAGUACAGCAGUGAGGAAUUUUGGUCAAUAGCCAAACGGCUGAACCAGCAACUUGGGGGAAUGUAAAGUUUUCGUAAAGAAAGCAGUUACUUUGUGUAUAAAGUUCUAGAUAGAAUACUGAAGAUGACAAUUUACUAUCUAUAUGUCUUGACCAAUUCACGUGCCAGCAGUCGCGGUAACACGUGUAAGACUAGUGUUAUUCAUCUUUAUUAGGUUUAAAGGGUACCUAGACGGAGAAUUUAGCCUUAAAAGGGUACAAAUUUUCUAGAGUUUUAUAUGAGAAGGGGGAACUAUUGGAGGAGAGAUAAAAUUUGUUAAUACCAAUGGGACAGAUGUCGGUGAAGGCAACCUUCUAAGUAAAAACUGACGUUGAGGGACGAAGGCUUGGGUAUCGAUUAGGAUUAGAUACCCUAGUAGUCCAAGCAGAAAAUUAUGAGUGUCAUAGACUAGAUAUUUAGUCUAUAAAUGAAAGUGUAAGCAUUCCACCUUAAGAGUAAUGUGGCAACACAGAAACUGAAAUCAUUAGACCGUCUCUGAAACCAGUAGUGAAGUAUGUUAUUUAAUUCGAUGAUCCGCGAAAAACCUUACCACAAUUUGUAUAUUAUUAAUUUAAUACAGGUGUUGCACGGCUGUCUUCAGUUAAUGUCGUGAGACUAUGGUUAGUUCCAUUAAUUAACGUAAACCCUUAUUUUAUUUUAUAAUAAAAUAGUUCACCAUUAUAUUGGAUUAGAUAACAGGGAUCAAGACAAGUCAUCAUGGCCUUAAUAUUGUGGGCUAUAGACGUGCCACAAAUACCUUUACAAAGAGAUGCAAUAUAGCAAUAUGGAGCUAAUCUCUAAAUAAGGUUAAAAUGGAUUGUAGCCUGUAACUCGGCUACAUGAAAAAGGAAUUACUAGUAAUCGUGAAUCAGCACGUCACGGUGAAUUUAAUCUCAGUUGGGUACUAACCACUCGUCAGGCGCUGAAAGAGGUAUGUGCAAUAAGUUUGGUUGGGUGUUUACUUUAAUAUUAAUUAUCAGGUUAGAUAUGUUUACAUUCAAUUUUCGUAUGUGUGACCUUAAUUGGUGUUAAGUCGAAAUAUGGUUCGUGUAAUGGAAAUUGCACGGGUUGUAUAAAAUUU
rnacentral:rRNA from 1 species